GGACCCGCACAAGUAGUGGAGCAUGUGGUUUAAUUCGAAGAUACGCGCAGAACCUUACCAACACUUGACAUGUUCGUCGCGACUUUAAGAGAUUAAAGUUUUCGGUUCGGCCGGACGAAACACAGGUGCUGCAUGGCUGUCGUCAGCUCGUGUCGUGAGAUGUUGGGUUAAGUCCCGCAACGAGCGCAACCCUCACUUUUAGUUGCCAUCAUUUAGUUGGGCACUCUAGAAGAACUGCCAGUGAUAAGCUGGAGGAAGGUGGGGAUGACGUCAAGUCCUCAUGGCCCUUACGUGUUGGGCUACACACGUGCUACAAUGGUAUCUACAACAGGAAGCAAGACUGCGAAGUUAAGCAAAUCCUUAAAAGAUACCUCAGUUCGGAUUGCACUCUGCAACUCGAGUGCAUGAAGCUGGAAUUACUAGUAA
rnacentral:rRNA from 1 species